GUGCCAGUACCUAGCUGGACUCUGGUUGGAUAAAAAAACAAACUAAAAAAGAAAAUAAAAAAUUAUAGAUUUAGAUUAUCUAUUUAGUAUAUAUAGAAUGAAUAUAUAUUUGAAUCUAUAUUUAUGAGUUAAUAUAGAAUUAUGAAUAGUAAUGAAAUUUAGAUUAUCUAUUUAGUAUAUAUAGAAUGAAUAUAUAUUUGAAUCUAUAUUUAUGAGUUAAUAUAGAAUUAUGAAUAGUAAUGAAAUAAAAUUAUAAUCAAAUAGAAAAAAAAAGAUAGAUAAGAUAUAUCAAAUGAAGAUCAAUAUCAAAUAAGAUAUAUAGAAGACUUUUUUCGAGCCCUACUUUUUGUUCUUUAUGUUUAUGCGAGGUAUCAUAAGCAUAAUCAUUUCAUUUUUUGAAUUGGGGAGAGAUGGCUGAAUGGACUAAAGCGUUGGAUUGCUAAUCCGUUGUACGCAUUUUUGUACCGAGGGUUCGAAUCCCUCUCUUUCCGUUUAUUGAUGAUUUGGCAUUUUUUUCUUUUGAACUUAUGGAAUUUUUUUUUUAUUAUUCCCUGUUUCUUUCAUUUUUAACUAGUUCUUUUUGAAAAAUAGAUAGAAAAACGAAAAAUAUUUCAAAAUCCAGGACAAGUAAGAAAAAAGAUUUUCUUAUUCUUCACGUCCAGGAUUACGUCCCAGAUCAUUAGAUAGGAAUCCGAAGAUGAAAAGAGAAACAAAGAAUAUCACUAUCGUGUAAACAAAUAGUUUUAGAGUAAGCAUUAUAAAAUCUCCAAGAUAAUUAAAAAAAACGACAGAGAAAGAGAAUAGAUUCUCUUAUAUUUCUUAUUAUGUUUCCUUUGAGACUCAGUUUAUAAGAAAUGAAGUUACUUCAAAAAAACUUAAGAAAUUGGUUUGUAGUAAGAGUUGAGCCUUUUUUACCAUUACCAAAAAUUGUAUUUCAUAUCUACAAUCAAGAUCCACGUAUUGUUGGUAGACUCAAAUCGAAUAAUAGAAUUUUUAUUUUUUAAUGGAAAAAAAGGAAAUGAUGAGAUGAUCCAUAUUUUUAUUGUCUAUCCAAAAAUUGCAAGAUUUGUAAUCACGGAUUCACACUGUAAAUGGUCGCGAGACCAUGUUCUUUCCAGGUUUACUCUGAGCGUUUCCUUUCCCUCUUUUGGGAUAAAUAACGCACGGUGGCGGCUCUGUUGUUUCUUGUUUCCCGCCGGUUUUUCGCGUAAUGCGACACAACUCAACCAUGCAAAACUCAAGAAAAGUUAUCCAACAUAUAGAAUUAGCACACAUAAGAUUCAAGAUACACUUUAUGAUCUCUAUCUUUUCACUUCAUAUAUCUUCAACUCUGUAACUGACUUGGACGUUGGAGUGAUAAUCUUGAAGAUAUGUCUUGUACCACUGUCUCAGACAUCAACACCACCGCUUCAAGAGUCCAAAAUCAUCAAUUAACACCAGUUAUGGUUCUCAUGCAAAACAUUGACGUCAUCUUUGGAAAUUGACUUCCGAUUCCUUCGAAACUCCACGAUCAUGUCAUUCUCGAUCUAGAAGCCAAAUCUCUACUAGAACCCCCAUAAGAUGAAGAGAAUAACAUCCUGCAUCUCACCAAAUAACUGUGUUGAAUUCCCCAUUCAUUCACCACUUAAACCCUUCGUCAUCGAUGAGAUCCGCAUGAAAGCGUUGUGUCACAGAGAUCUGCCACCAAACAACCUUCUUCAAGUGACGAUUGACACCAGAUCACAAAGUAAAGACAGAUUGGUGCAAUAAUUUCUAGAUCGUGAAAAGGUAGAUAGAAUCCAAAAUAUGGAGCUACUGUUGGUUAUAAUAGUUACAAUGGCGAAUCACACAGUGACAGGUUUCCUUGUGGACGAUGGGAGUUCAUGUAACAUCAUUACAUUGAUACACUUGGUUUUCUAGGACUCCACCAACCAAGUAUGAGUCCAUGAAGUAAUGUAAGUCUCACAACCUUUAAUGACUCUAUAACUUUCCCUUAUGUAAUGGCAGAUUUACCACUAUCGCUCGGAGAAUGGGAAGGUGAAAGGAAUGUAACCCUUUAUUUAUUAAUAGUUUUGUGUAAGAGUGAUUUUAGUGGCAUCAUUGGCUGGUCCUUUUUGGAAAAGUUGAAUGUUGUGGCUUCCCCGAUUCACCUUAAAGUAACGUAUCACAUAAACACUGGGAAGCCAGUCGUACUUGACGCCUACCUGAAAUCAAUAAUAUGUAUCCAUUAAGUUAUACUAGAAAACCUCCUCGCCAUCCGGCAUUGUCAAAGAAAGGUCCGGGAAGAGUGAAUAUGGUCGACCUUGAUGUGCAUGAAGACGAGGUCGGACAAAUUUCAGAUGGAGAUUUCAAAGUCGUUCAUCUUGAUGAUAAUCCCAUAUGAUCCAUGAAUAUAGGAUCCGAACUCCCUUUCAAAGUAAAAAAAAAUGUUAAUUAAGUUUCUUUGGGCUAAUGCGGAUCUUUUUGCCAUUUCCCCCUAUGAAAUGCCUGACAUCAACCCCACCAUAGAUUGUCAUUAGUUAAACAUCAAUCUCAAUGCCCAUUAUAUCUCCCCGUAAAGAAGAAAUCAGUCUCUAGAGAAGGUUGAGGCUAGUACUAACACGGUCGAAGGACUGCUAGACGUCAACUUCAUUUUUGAAGUGAAAUACAUGAAAUGGGUCUCUAAUGUUGUGCUAGUUAAGAAGGCUUGUGGGAAGUGAAUAAUGUGUGUCAAUGAUAUAUAACUUAAUCGAGCAUACUUUAAGGACUCAUAUAUGCCUCCUAACAUAUAAAAAUUGGUAAACAAACUUAGAUGGAUACAAGUUGUUAUCGUUCAUGGACAUUUGUUUUGGGUACAACCAGAUACAUAUGUUCAAACCUAAUAGGAAUAAAACGGAAUUCAUGAUCGACCAAUAUAAGUACCAGUACAAUGUGAUACCCUUUCGGUUGACAAAUUCGAGCGCGACGUACCAAAGGAUGAUUAAUAGGGUAUUUUUAAAGGAGAUAUGUGAGACACUAGAGGUAUAUAUGGGUGACAUGGUUGUGAAGUCUAGUCAAGAAGAAUCCCAUGACCAACACCUCUAGCUGGUAUUCAAGAUAAUUCGACAGUAUGACAUGAGGAUCAAUCUAGUGAAAUUCACAUUCAGAGUGAGAGCCAAUAAAUUUUUAUAGUUCUAAUUUAAAGAGAUAGUAAUUGAAGCCAACCCCGACAAACUCAAAGUAGUUGUUCAAAUGAGUGCACCAACUUCGAACAAGGAAGUCCAAAAGAUGAAUGGGAUGCUCAACUUCUUAAGCAGGUGCAUUUCAAAAAAAAUCCAUCAUGCAUUACCUUUCUAUAGAUUAUUAAGGAAAGAGUUAAAGUUUUAAUGGACAUGGGAAUGCGAAAAGAGAAUUCAAAUAACUAAAAGAGGUGUUAGCCACACCACCGAUGCUUACUCGUCCACUCCAUGGCAAAGUUCUCUUUCUGUACCUGGUCGCCUUUAAGGAAAUUGUUAGCAAUUUUCUAAUAUGAGAGCUAGAUUCCAACAAAAACAAAGUAUACUUAUUAUCAAAGGCUCUAGCUGGACCAGAGACACGCUACCAAAAGAUAGAGAAGGCAUAUGUAGCAUUGGUGACUAUGUCGAGAAAGCUCCUGAGGUAUAUCCGUGCACACUCCAUAGCAGUUCAAACUGAAUUACCCAUGAAACAUGUACUUAGCAACAUAGAUAAUUUACUAUCUCAUAAUUUUUUUUCAAUUAGGGAUAGUAAUAGCAAUAUAUAUGACAUAUAUUAUGCUUAUGAUACUAAUGAUACUAAUAUUACUAAAUAUAAAUGGACUAAUAACAUUAAUCGUUGCAUUGAGAGUUAUCUUCUCCCGGUAAUCUGUCUUUUGAUAAGAAUCAAGACGACGAUUCAGAUGGUCUUUUCCUCUUCCCGAAUUCCACACACUCCUUUCGAAAGUUUCUUUCCGAUCCAAUUAAUGGAUCGAAGCAUGUCUUCAUGCCGACGAGUCUUUUCGAAGAUUCCUCUUUCCGACCAUUCUUUAAUCAUAAUUUAAUGGGAUCACAGAAACCAUGUUUAUCAUAGAUUCAGUAUCUGAAUCGAAAGGUCGUUCUAUCUGAACUGCUUUUCAAAUGCUCGCACAGUGUCGCAUAUUCAUUUUGCGGUCGGAAUUGCUUAAAUGAGUCCAUAGCAGUUUGAUUUGAACCUAAACGAGGUAAUUUUUCAUCAUUGGGAUCGCUUAUAAUUCUUUGGAACAAUACUUUCUCUCUAUUUCUAGGAUAUAUCUCACUAUAUCCAAUAUUAUCCUUAUUAUUAGUCAUAUAUAUCAUCUGGUGUUAUCAUAUAUAUCAUUUGUUCACAUUUGUAUCAUUUUUCUAUUAAAAAUGGAUCGGGGGGUGGGGGUAUAUCUCAUGUGUGUUGAGUGAGUGUGUGUGGUACGGAGGGGUAUAUCGAGGGAGAGGUGGGGACAUAGUGACGCAUUGGGUAUCAUUUGUAUCAUGGUGUGGCUGUGAGUGUGCGAGUGUGGGUGAGUGGCUGAUAUAUCAUUUGUAUCAUUGGUGGUGGGGCGCUGUGAUGUGUAGAGAGGUGUGACUGUGAGAGUGAGGGUCCAUCUCUCUCUUUCCGUCCGUGGCUGCCGUGGUGUGGUGGGGGAGAAGGAGAAUCUCUUCUCGGUGUGUGCGUGUGCGCUGCGUCGUCGGUGUGGUGGGUUGGUGUGGUUGAGAGAGGAGUGUGCUGGUGUGGUGUGCGUGCGUGCGGUUGCGCUGGGUGGGUGUGUGUGUGUGGUUAGGAUGAGUGGAGUGGAACUAUGGUAUGGAUAGUGUGUGAUGUGAUUGAUGGAUGCAGUGCAGGAGGGGUGGGUAGUGACAAAGAUGAUUGAUGCAGUGAGUGACGUGUAAGGAGUAAUAUCGAGACAAAUGGUUAUAGGCAAAUGAUACAAGCGAGUGAUUAUGAUGCGCAGUGUGUGGGAGGUGAGUGAGUGCGCGUGAGUGAGCGAGAUGUGGGUACGAGAGAGUGAGAGUGAGUGGGCGAGGUGCUCGUUGUGUGGGUGGGGGGGUAAUUGAGAUAGAGUAUAAGAUGGGGAUACGAAAUAUGACGAGAUAUGAGGGUAGUGGAGGUGAUGGGUGGAGACAGGGCGGGGGCAAGGGUGAUANUAUGGUAUAUACGAUCCAGAUGAUAUAUAUGAGACUAAUAUAAAGGAUAUAUGUGAGAGAUAUAGUGAGAUAUAUCCUAGAAAUAGAGAGAAGAGUACUUUUGUUCCAAUAGAUUAUAGCGAUCCCAAUUGUAUGGAAAAAUUAGCUCGUUUGUGGGUUCAAUGCGAAACUUGCUAUGGACUCAAUUUUAAGCAAUUUUUCCGACCCAAAAUGAAUAUUUGCGAACACUGUGGCGAGCAUUUGAAAAUGAGCAGUUCAGAUAGAAUCGACCUUUCGAUUGACCGAGAUACUUGGAAUCCUAUGGAUGAAGACAUGGUUUCUGUGGAUCCCAUUAAAUUUGAUUCGAUUAAAGAAUUGGGUUCGGAAGAGGAAUCUUCGAAAGAUCGUCUGGAUGAAGACAUGCUUUCUCCAGAUCCCAUUGAAUUGGAUUCGGAAGAAGAAUCUUCGAAAGAUCGUGUGGAUUCGGAAGAGGAAAAAGACCAAUCUUAUAUCGAUCGUCUUGAUUCUUAUCAAGAAAAGACAGGAUUACCGGAGACGGAUUUAUAUUCACAAUGAAAUAUAAAAGUAUAAUACAAAAAAUAAAGGUUUAUUUUAUUUUCUAUUUAUAUUACAAUAGAUAAUAUAUAGAAUAGAAAAUGGGGCGUGGCCAAGCGGUAAGGCGGCGGGGUUUGGUCCCGUGAUUCGGAGGUUCGAAUCCUUCCGUCCCAGGUGAAACCGAUUGAUGAUAUCACCAGUUUUCUUCAUGAAGGCAUAAAAAGGCUUCUUAUACGUUUCUAGGGGAGGGGAUAUAUUGUUAAUCUAAAGUUGCUCAACCUACAUAUUAGGAAAAAGUCAAUAAAUAAAGUUUAUCGAUAAAUACCGUAGACCCUAUAAGCUUUUUUACUUAUUUUCAAUUAGUAUAUUUAGAAAAUAUACUAAUUGAAAAUCAAACAAUGAUUAUGAUUAUGCUAUUCUAUUCAUCUAUAAUAUUUUCAUUCAUCUAUCAUAUUUUCAUGUAAAUGGAGGAAAAAAAGAAAAAUCUAUGCAAAGAAAGUGGUUCAAUUCAAUGAUCUUUAAUCAUUCAUCUAUCAUAUUUUCAUGUAAAUGGAGGAAAAAAAGAAAAAUCUAUGCAAAGAAAGUGGUUCAAUUCAAUGAUCUUUAAUAGGGGUUUAGAAUACAGGUGUGGUUUAAGUAAAUCAAUAGAGGGUUUUGGUCCUAUUGAAAAUAACGGUGUAAAUUAUAAAUGAUAAAUGAUAAAUGAAGACCCAUCUAGUUUAACUGAUAUGGAUAAUAACAUUGAUAGCUGGAAGAACAAUAGUGAAAAUUCUAGUUAUGGUCAUGCUGAUUCUUUAGCAGAUGUCAGCAACAUAGAUAAUUUACUAUCUGAUAAAAUUUUUUCAAUUAGGGAUAGUAAUAGCAAUAUAUAUGACAUAUAUUAUGCUUAUGAUACUAAUGAUACUAAUAAUACUAAAUAUAAAUGGACUAAUAACAUUAAUCGUUGCAUUGAGAGUUAUCUUCGUUCUCAAAUCUGUGAGGAUAUUGACUUUAAUAGUGACAUUUGCGAUAAGGUCCAAAGGACUAUUAUAAUUUUAAUAAGGAGCACAAAUGAUACAAAUGAUAUAUCAGAUACAAAUGAUAUAUCAGAUACAAAUGAUACAAAUGAUACAAAUGCGAUAUAUGAUCCAUUUGAUAUAUCCGAUACAAAUGAUACAAAUGAGAUAUACGAUCCAUUUUUUAUAUUAGAUAUAAAUGAUACAAAUGAUACAAAUGAUAUAUAUGGUAUAUACGAUCCAGAUGAUAUAUAUGAGACUAAUAUAAAGGAUAUAUGUGAGAGAUAUAGUGAGAUAUAUCCUAGAAAUAGAGAGAAGAGUACUUUUGUUCCAAUGGAUUAUAGCGAUCCCAAUUGUAUGGAAAAAUUAGCUCGUUUAUGGGUUCAAUGCGAAACUUGCUAUGGACUCAAUUUUAAGCAAUUUUUCCGACCCAAAAUGAAUAUUUGCGAACACUGUGGCGAGCAUUCGAAAAUGAGCAGUUCAGAUAGAAUCGACCUUUCGAUUGAUCGAGAUACUUGGAAUCCUAUGGAUGAAGACAUGGUUUCUGUGGAUCCCAUUAAAUUUGAUUCGAUUAAAGAAUUGGGUUCGGAAGAGAAAUCUUCGAAAGAUCGUCUGGAUGAAGACAUGCUUUCUCCGGAUCCCAUUGAAUUGGAUUCGGAAGAAGAAUCUUCGAAAGAUCGUGUGGAUUCGGAAGAGGAAAAAGACCAAUCUUAUAUCGAUCGAUAUAUAUAUAUAUAUAUAUAUAUAUCUUUCGAUUGAUCGAGAUACUUGGAAUCCUAUGGAUGAAGACAUGGUUUCUGUGGAUCCCAUUCAAUUUGAUUCGAUUAAAGAAUUGGGUUCGGAAGAGGAAGAAGAGGAAAAAGACCAAUCUUAUAUCGAUCGUCUUGAUUCUUAUCAAGAAAAGACAGGAUUACCGGAGACGGUUCAAACAGGCACAAAUCAACGUGAGGAAAUCAAGUGGUUGUUCAAAGAUAUUAUGAAUCAACUUGACUUGUAUUUGCAAACUGCGAAAAGUCGUGUGGACUCGGAAGAGGAAGAAGAGGAAAAAGACCAAUCUUAUAUCGAUCGUCUUGAUUCUUAUCAAGAAAAGACAAGAUUACCGGAGGCGGUUCAAACAGGCACAGGUCAACUAAAUGGUAUUCCUUUAGCACUAGCUGUUAUGGAUUCUGAGUUUAUAGCGGGUAGUAUGGGAUGCGUAGUGGGUGAGAAAAUCACUCGGUUGAUCGAAUAUGCUACCAAUCUACUUUUACCUCUUAUUAUAGUAUGUGCGUCCGGAGGAGCGCGUAUGCAAGAAGGAAGUUUGAGCUUAAUGCAAAUGGCUAAAAUUUCUUCUGCUUUAUAUAACUUAAUCAAAUCAAUCAAAAGUUAUUCUAUGUAGCGAUACUUACAUCUCCGACUACUGGUGGGGUAACAGCUAGUUUUGGGAUGUUGGGGAUAUCAUUAUUGCCGAACCUAAUGCAACCAUUGCAUUUGCGGGUAAAGAGUAAUUGAACAAUUGUUGAAUAAGGAAGUGCCUGAAGGUUCCCAAUCGGCUGACCUUUUAUUCGACAGGGGCUUAUUGGAUGCAGUCGUACCACGUCAUCUUUUAAAGGAGUUUUAACUGAGUUAUUUCAGUUCCAUGGUUUCGUUCCUUUGACUUAAAAUUGGACUGAAAAUGAAAACUAAUGCAGACAUUUUAUUUAUUUUUUCAAAUUUGGUGACGAGAUCCAAUCCGAGUAGAUAAGAGGCUAUGGCUAUGAUACAAAAUAAAAUUAGAACACACAAGAGUAAAGUAAUAAGAUAAGAAUAAAAAAUAUAGGUAUAAAGAAAAUAUGAAAUUGAGGUAUCCCAUUUUAUGAUAAACUUACCAUCCCUUUUUGUUCCUUUAGUAGGCCUACUAUUUCCGGCAGUUGCAAUGGCUUCUUUAUUUCUUCAUGUUGAGAAAAGACUUUUAUUUUCCACAAAAAAAAUCAACAAAUAGUAUGAAAAAGAUAACUCAGAAUAUUCGAAGGAUUACUAUAUAUAUAAUAUAUAUAGUAGUCCAAUUUUUGUACGAUGGGACUGUAGAGGGUAUUAUAGUAACUGUUUUAUCGCUUGUUUUUGCUUGAAAAUUAAUUUGUUGGGCAGAAGGUCUUCCUGCAUACCGUUUAGAAGACUCGUGGAUUGCCUUUGUAGUAGGGUCCCAAAACAGUUUCACUAUUUUGUGUGGUUCUUUCAAAUUUUUACAUUCAUUUGGGAGGAAGUUUUUCGCUUACAUUCAGAUGAAGUUGUCCAGUGUGCCACGAGAAGAAAGGGUAAGGCUGCUUUUGUAUGCAAUUGUAAAGAUCUUUCUAACGUUAUAUCGAAUGAGAUUUAGUUAUCGUUCCGGCUUUUCUGGAAGAGAUCGUUGUAUUAUUCCCAAAGUUCCUAUGAACGCUAGUCAGUGCCUCAUACAAAAAACUAACCCAGAUAGUAAUGAUGUCCUUUCUAUGAAAACCAGAGAAAGAGAAAAGGGGACCAUUCCCUUGAGUUCUGUUAAUGCUAGUCCUCCACGCAACCGUCUAAAAAAAGUGUGGAGUUGCACAGAUUAUUGAGUGGACGAAUAGAAAAUGUUCCACCGAAGGACGAAUAAAAAAGCGAGAAUAACCUAUAAUAUAUCAAUUUAUAUGAAAAAAUUAUAAAUUGAUAUAUUAUAAGCUAAUUUGCUCUAUUACUUAUAUUUACUUGUAAUAGAACUUAUGGAUUAUUAUUAUAUAUACAGUUGAAAAAUAAGAUGAAACUGAGGACGAAAAAUGGCAAAAAAGAAAGCAUUCAUUCCCCUUCUAUGUCUUACAUCUAUAGUCUUUUUGCCCUGGUGCAUCUCUUUUACAUUUAAGAAAAGUCUGGAAUCUUGGAUUACUCAUUGGUACAAUACGAAAGAAUCCGAAAUUUUCUUGAAUACUAUUCAAGAAAAAAGUAUUUUAAAGAAAUUCCUAGAGUUCGAGGAACUGUUCCUCUUGGAUGAAAUGCUAAAGGAAUAUCCGGAAACACGUUUACAAAACCUUCGUAUCGAAAUCUACAAAGAGACCAUCCAAUUGAUCCAGACGAACAACCAAGAUCAUAUCCAUACGAUUUUGCAUUUCUGUACAAAUAUAAUAUGUUUCCCUAUUCUAAGUGUUUAUUCUAUUAGGGGUAAUCAAGAACUCAUUAUUCUUAACUCUUGGGUUCAAGAAUUUCUAUAUAAUUUAAGUGACACAAUCAAAGCUUUUUCUAUUCUUUUCUUAAUUGAGUUCUAUGUAGGAUACCAUUCGAUUGGUGGUUGGGAACUAAUGAUUGGGUAUGUGUAUUAAGAUUUUGGAUUUAUUCAGAAUGAUCAUAUUAUAUCUUUUCUUGUUUCUAUUUUGCCAGCCAUUUUAGAUACAAUUUUUAAAUACUGGAUUUUCCGUUAUUUAAAUUGUGUAUCUCCGUCGCUUGUAUUGAUUUAUGAUUCAAUUCCAUUCCAGGAAUGAUUGGAAAAACGACCCACUGAUCCAAUUCUAAAAUUUGUUUUUUUUUAUAUAAAAGCUAAACAUUCCAAAUUUCACUUAUUUGUUUUACUUGUAUUCUUCCUAUAAUAUAGGAAGAAUACAAGUAAAUAGCAUAAUCAUGGAUAGGGAACUGAGUAACCUACCUAAUCUUAUUGUAGAAAUUUUCAGGAUCAAGGAUUGUACCAUGCAAACUAGAAAUGCUUUUUCUUGGAUAAAGAAAGAGAUUACUCGAUCUAUUUCCGCAUUGCUCAUGAUCUAUAUAAUAACUCGAGCACCCAUUUCAAAUGCAUAUCCCAUUUUUGCCCAACAAGGUUAUGAAAAUCCUCGAGAAGCUACCGGCCGGAUUGUAUGUGCUAAUUGCCAUUUAGCUACUCCGUCGCUUGUAUUGAUUUAUGAUUCAAUUCCAUUCCAGGAAUGACUGAAAAAACGACCCACUGAUCCAAUUCUAAAAUUUGUUUUUUUUUAUAUAAAAGCUAAACAUUCCAAAUUUCACUUAUUAGUUUUACUCGUAUUCUUCCUAUAAUAUAGGAAGAAUACGAGUAAAUAGCAGAAUCAUGGAUAGGGAACUGAGUAACCUACCUAAUCUUAUUGUAGAAAUUUUCAGGAUCAAGGAUUGUACCAUGCAAACCAGAAAUGCUUUUUCUUGGAUAAAGAAAGAGAUUACUCGAUCUAUUUCCGUAUUGCUCAUGAUCUAUAUAAUAACUCGAGCACCCAUUUCAAAUGCAUAUCCCAUUUUUGCCCAACAAGGUUAUGAAAACCCUCGAGAAGCUACCGGCCGGAUUGUAUGUGCUAAUUGCCAUUUAGCUAAUAAGCCCGUAGAUAUUGAGGUUCCACAAGCGGUACUUCCCGAUACUGUAUUUGAAGCAGUUGUUCGAAUUCCUUAUGAUGUGCAAGUGAAACAAGUUCUUGCUAAUGGGAAAAAGGGGGCUUUGAAUGUAGGAGCUGUUCUUAUUUUACCAGAGGGUUUUGAAUUGGCCCCUCCUCAUCGUCUUUCGCCCCAGAUUAAAGUUUUCAAAGCUAUCGUCCACAAAAAAAAUUCUUGUCAUAGCCCGUUCUGGGAAAAUAUAGUGAAAUUACCUUUCCUAUU
rnacentral:lncRNA from 1 species